UACGAAGGGGGCUAGCGUUGCUCGGAAUUACUGGGCGUAAAGGGCGCGUAGGCGGGUCGUCAAGUUGGGGGUGAAAGCCCGGGGCUCAACCUCGGAAUUGCCUUCAAAACUGACGACCUAGAGUUUGGGAGAGGUGUGUGGAACUCCGAGUGUAGAGGUGAAAUUCGUAGAUAUUCGGAAGAACACCAGUGGCGAAGGCGACACACUGGACUGGUAUUGACGCUGAGGUGCGAAAGCGUGGGGAGCAAACAGG
rnacentral:rRNA from 1 species